rnacentral:rRNA from 1 species
GAUGAACGCUGGCGGCGUGCUUAACACAUGCAAGUCGAACGUGAGAAUAGCAAUAUUUGAAAGUGGCAAACGGGUGAGUAACACGUGGGAACCUGCCUCGAAGUGGGGGAUAACGAUUGGAAACGGUCGCUAAUACCGCACGGUUCUGCUCUGAUGGGAAUGGAGCAGAUAAAGAUUUAUCGCUUUGAGAGGGGCCCGCGGCCGAUUAGCUAGUUGGUAAGGUAAAGGCUUACCAAGGCGAUUAUCGGUAGCUGGUCUGAGAGGACGAUCAGCCACACGGGAACUGAGACACGGUCCCGACUCCUACGGGGGGCAGCAGUGAGGAAUAUUGGGCAAUGGGCGAAAGCCUGACCCAGCAACGCCGCGUGGAGGAUGAAGGCUUUAGGGUUGUAAACUCCUUUUGUGGGGAAAAGAAUGGAUGGUACCCCAAGAAUAAGUCACGGCUAACUACGUGCCAGCAGCCGCGGUAAGGCACGACUGU